CCUACGGGGGGCUGCAGUGGGGAAUAUUGGACAAUGGGGGGAACCCUGAUCCAGCCAUGCCGCGUGUGUGAAGAAGGCCCUCGGGUUGUAAAGCACUUUCAGUGAGGAAGAACGCCUGGUGGUUAAUACCCAUCAGGAAAGACAUCACUCACAGAAGAAGCACCGGCUAACUCCGUGCCAGCAGCCGCGGUAAUACGGAGGGUGCGAGUGUUAAUCGGAAUUACUGGGCGUAAAGCGCGCGUAGGUGGCUUGAUAAGCCGGUUGUGAAAGCCCCGGGCUCAACCUGGGAACGGCAUCCGGAACUGUCAAGCUAGAGUGCAGGAGAGGAAGGUAGAAGUCCCGGUGUAGCGGUGAAAUGCGUAGAGAUCGGGAGGAAUACCAGUGGCGAAGGCGGCCUUCUGGACUGACACUGACACUGAGGUGCGAAAGCGUGGGUAGCAAACAGGAUUAGAUACCCCAGUAGUC
rnacentral:rRNA from 1 species